GGCGACCCAUACUUGGUUUCAG
rnacentral:miRNA from 2 species